UCCCUGGUGGCUCAGAUGGUGAGGAGUCUGCCUGCAGCGCAGGAGACCUGGGUUCAAUCCCUGGUUUGGGAA
rfam:TPA: Bos taurus chromosome 1, whole genome shotgun sequence.